rnacentral:rRNA from 1 species
GCGGCGGACGGGUGAGUAACACGUGGGUAAUCUGCCUCGUAGACUGGGAUAACAGGCCGAAAGGUUUGCUAAUACCGGAUGAGUUCAUGUUAUUGCAUAGUGACAUGAAGAAAGGGGAAACCCGCUAUGAGAUGAGCCCGCGCCCCAUUAGCUAGUUGGUAGGGUAAAAGCCUACCAAGGCGACGAUGGGUAGCCGGCCUGAGAGGGUGGACGGCCACACUGGGACUGAGACACGGCCCAGACUCCUACGGGGGGCAGCAGUAGGGAAUUUUCGGCAAUGGGCGAAAGCCUGACCGAGCGACGCCGCGUGAGGGACGAAGGCCUUCGGGUUGUAAACCUCUGUCUGGGGGGACGAGAACGGACGGUACCCCCGGAGGAAGCCCCGGCUAACUACGUGCCAGCAGCCGCGGUAAUACGUAGGGGGCGAGCGUUGUCCGGAAUUACUGGGCGUAAAGGGCGUGUAGGCGGUCGUGCAAGUCGGUUGUGAAAGUCUAGG